AAAUCAAUAAAAAUAUAUUUUUUAAAAAGCUGCUAUUCAAAAGUAUGUAGCCUAAAACUAUAUGGAUGCAUUAAAUAAGCACAUCUAUCCCAGGAGGUUUAAAUUGCAUCACCCUGGGGAAGGCAGUCAAUUUUAUUAUUAUACUUUUUAUUAAUAGACUUUAUUUUUUCAGAAAAAAAUUUUAGAUUUGCAAAGAAAUUGAGCAGAUAGUACAGAAUUCCCAUAUUACCCGCCCCCUUCCCAGCACCCACUUUCCCCUAUUAACAUCGUUCAUGGAUAUGGUACAUUUGCCACAAUUGAUGGCUUGAUAUUGAGACAUUAUUUUUAAUUAAAGUCCGUAGUUUAUUCAGAUUUCUUUAGUUUUUACCUACUGGCCUUCUUUCUGUCCAGGAUCCCAUCCAGGGUACCACGCUACAUUAAGGUGUCUGGUCUUCUUGGGCUUCUCUUGGCUUUCCCAGACUCUCCUUGUUUUUGAUGACUUUGUGAGUCCUGGCUUUGGCCAUUGGGAGCUCUCCGUCGACUCCUGUGCCCCCGUGUCACACCCCCAUCAAUGCGGGCUUUUUGUGUAAACUCCGUUUUGUGAGGACUUUGGCACAAGUUCCAUCUGGCGUCCCUGAGAGUGGACUGGCACCGAUAGUGGGUGUGUCUGCAAGAAUCCGUGCUGCGCCAGCCUGGGCAUGUCUGCUUGUAAAGAGCAGAGCAAUGAAGAACUGAGUACUUCCUGCACCAGCUCCACCGGGCUCCACAAACACCUUUAACAGUGACUAUGGAGAGAUGACAUUGUCUUGUUUGUUUAGUACUUGCUGUAAGUUUUAGUUGUUUAUUGCCUAACUUUUAUGUUUAUGAUGAGGAUAAAGAGCAGUUGGAUAUUUUGAUAAUUACUCAUUCAAUUCAAACAAAAAUUUCCAAUACUUUUCUUUCUAGUUUUUAGAUCGAUUUAAUUGAAGACUAUUAUAAUCUCAAAUUGGGGGCGGGGGGAAGGCUUUGGGUAGGAGUUAAGAACACAAACUCUAGCACAGGACUUCCUUGAUUUAAAUCCUUGACCUUGGGCAAAUUACUCCACUCCCCUGUUCCUCAGUUUUCUCACCUGUAAGAGGGGAAUGCUAAUGGUAGACCUACUUCAAAGGUUUGUUAAUUGAGUUAAUAUACAUAAAUUGAUUAGAAUAGAGCCUGACAUAUAGUGGGUGCUGUGUAAUGGUGUCUGUCAUUAUUAUUUACACCACCUGCUAUGGUAAGAGUGUUUGUAUCUCCCCAAACUUACUAUGUUGAAACCCUAAUUCCCAUGGUGGCAUUAGGAGGUGGGGCCUUUGUGGGUGAUUAGAUCAUAAGGGUAAAGCCCUGAUGAUUGGGAUUAGUGCCUUUAUAAAAGAGGACCCACAGAUCUCUCUCGUUUCCUCUGUCAUGUGAGGAUCUAUGAGAAGUCUGCGACUCCAAAGAGGACCCUCAUCAGACAAUGAUCUUGGACUUCCAGUCUCUAAAACUAUCCUGAUAAACAGAUUCCCUGGUCCUGCAGUCACACCCUGGCUCCCAGCCAUGAGGCUAGGUCAGAUCCUGCCGUCUGCUGCAUGCACUCUAACAAUGAAACAGCCUGUCUCCUGGUCUGGCCAGCCAGAUCUGGACCCAGCCAACCCUGAGGAAGCUCCUGGAAGCAGGGCUCAUACCCUGCCCUCCCUGGCAUCCUCAGAACCCACCGUGGCCUAGCAAAUCCUUGUUGAAGAGAUGAAUGGCCUGCUCUGUUUGGGUGCUGCCCACAUCUAGUCAUAACAUACUACAGCAAAGGGAGGUGGAGGUGUUGAGAGGACAAACUGUGUAAAAGUUAUUUUUCAUCUACGCCACCUGGGGGUAUUUAUGUCUUGUAUUGACACUAGUUAUUUAGAUCUGAACCCACAAUGCCAUAGACAAGAUUUGGGGUGUGGCUUGCCCAGGUCAGAGCAGGGGAAACUGGUCUUGGGAAUGCCAAGAGAACUUCAGGCAAAGUCAACUUAGCUAAACCAGGGAGAAAGACAUCCAUCCAUCCACUGAUUCAUUCAUUCAUUCAUUCAUUCAUUCAAUAAAUGUGUAUUGAGUACCCUAUGUGUCCAGUUUUAUGUUAGACACCCAGA